CCUACGCGGGUGCGCACAGACAGACACAGUGGCCACGUUAUUUGUGAGCCUCGGAUCAGAUAAGAGGUGAUUCAUGGCGGGGAAAGGCAUGGGACUGGAGACGGGUCCAGUCCGUCUCUGUCGUCAUGCACUGGGUGGCCAUAAGAGUCUUUAAUGUUUCACCUGAUGAAGGACGCAGUCACCUACAUGUUUGUGCGGGGUCGUGAGGAAGGACCACAAGAAGUACACUGAGCCUUCGCCGGUAGGACUUCAGGGAGGGAUUACAUGCACAGGCCACAGUGGGCCUGGGGUUCUGAAGGAUACCAGACUCCAAGCAGGCCGGUGAGCCGUCGGGAAAAGAGGAGGGCAUGAUGGGUGUGCAAGGUCAGAGCCUGCGGUGCUCCAGGAGGAGGAGCUUGUGUGGGAAGCAGGGACUGCCUGGGAAGAGUGGAGGACUCAUCUCAGUAUGAUGGGCCCAGCAGCUCCCCACUUUCCUAACCUCAUCUGGGGUCUUGUAGAAGAAAGAUCGCAGCGGGGGCUCUCUGACUUGUUUCUGGGCGGCUCCCUCAGCUGGUGGUAGGCAACACUUGCGGUACAUGCUCUGGACAGAGCUGCCCUGUCACCUGGGGCUGGGCUUGGAGGAGAGGCAGCCACUCUGAGGCAGGAGUGUAAGAGGGAUGAACAAGGUCUUCGAAAGCCUCUCCACAUGUGUAGAACUUGAAGCAGUCAUGCGCAUUAUUUUACAGAUCCUGCCCUGUAGGCCUAGGAAGUGAGCAGGGGGGUGGGAGGCUCCAGAAGCGGGUGUGCAAGGCGGUGGUGGUCAAGGAGGAGCAGGAGCCAUGUGGCGUCCCUGUACACAGACUGACAAAGAGCAGAAGGCCGGCUGCUCCAGACCCUCUAACCCUUGUGCCUUCGCCCCGUGUCUUUAGCAUACUGUGGAACUAGACCACAGGUCUCGGAUGUCACAGGCUAUCGGUACAGAGCUCCAGCCAGUCCGACACGGCCAACAGGGUUAAAGACAGCGGGCAAGAGAGGACCUGCAGCUGCGUGGCCAGUCAUCAGAACACUCCAGGAUACUUCACGAUGGUGCCUUCACAAAACCUCAAGGAGCCAGCGGGACCCAGGCUGCUCUGUGCCCAUCAGGAAGCGCUGUAGAAUGGAAGGGUGGGACCGACAUGAAGACCUUGCCCACGCCAGUAUUGGAGCCUCAGCAAGGACACUGGUGCAGAGAAGCCGAGCAUUGCUCUUUCUGCCCUUUUGUGAGACAACUGAUAGUAAAAUGAACAUCAAACACGUGAGUACAGCUGUGGCUUACCGCUUUGGCAACAGAUCGCAUAAACCACAGCCACUUUCCACAGUGAACUGCCCCGUACCAUCUGCACGCCAUGCUGGAGGAGGCACGGGAGACACGUGAUGCGACACCACCUUCCCUGCAGGAGCUUGGUGCCAGCCGUCUGGAACAUCUCUGCUACGCUCCAGGCAGGGAGGGAUGCCCGCUGGUGCCCAGCGGAAAUAAUUUAUCACCGUCUCCCCUGGUGACACAAACUUUCUACCUGGGAAGACGCCUUGACUGUGCAGCAGGAGUGAUUCCACCUGUGUGCCCCACCUGGGAGACAGUGACCACAUCACUGUCCUCACAACCACGGCCUGGACCUGCUUCUCAGGCCAUGUGCUGGUCUGGAAGGACCUCGGCCCCCUGACUUCCCAGAUGACUGGGUUUUGGAGUACAAUGGCAAACAGUUCUUCCUGACUCGAUUUUUCAACAAGCGUGGCGGUAAGGGGUUUAGACGCACACUCCAAUGUGGCCCUCCAAUAUAGGAGGUGACAAGUAGUGUUUCCCACCUGUGAGUGUAGGUGGUAACUAAGGAAAGGAAAGGGAAAGACAGGCAGUUACACUUUGACUUCAGUCUGAGGAAGGUACACUGCUGUGUGUGUGUGCUAUCUCACUUAAUCACUCCUACUUCACUGGACUGUCGUGAGAAUUGAGAACAGACACACCACCCUUUGGCCUGUGGCCGGCACACUAUAAGCACAGACAAAGGUCCGUUCUCUUCCCUCAACCCUCAAUUCUUACACUUCUGCAAGGUCACUGUAAUCGUGGCCAACCAUUUGGAAGCAUAUCUAGGGUGGUACAGACAGGAAGGAGCUGAAUAAGGACUCAGGACCAAGUCUUGCCCAUCUGACCCCAUGCCCACGCAGGCCCCUUUGCUCUCUGCUAAGCCACCUUUUCAAAGUAUGUAUUUCCUCUUUAGCACCACAGUCAUACUACAGAGAAGGGACUGUGCGUUCAGCAAUACUCAGAGCCUAGAGAGGGCAUGUGCAGAGAGGAGGAGGAGGACGAAGGCAGAGCACAAGACAGGCAAAUAAGAUGGGGAGGCAGGGAGCAGUUUUAGCUCAAACAUGUCUAUCCGCUUCACCAAGAGCCUCGUUGGUCAGCAGCAUUGCACAUCUGUCCUCGAUCGCCCUAAUGCUGCAUUUGGAGACACUGUCCUUUUUUCCAAUCAAUAGAAAAGACCACCUGUGAGUGCCUCCUAUAAAACGUGAGUUAGGAAUGUGGACAGGAGGCGUGGCUCAGUUGUACGGUGCUUGCCUCGCAGUGGACAAGGCCCCAGGUUCAAUCCCUAGUACCAGAAAAAUAAUCUGACCGCACCCUAGAUUCCCUCUUCUGUUCCCAUGUCCUCUCGUUCUGUACUUUGCUCCAAUGCAUGCUCAUGCCUCCCGCUCUGUGUCUACUCAGAUCACUACUCAAAAAAAACAAAAAAUGUAAGAUGCUCUCAGAUGAGUCACAGUAGGGGACAUCAACACUCGUCAUUAGUAUUUCUCUCCCAUGCUCCUGCCUUUGUUUCUUUGUUUCCACAACCUCCCCAAUAUAUUUUUUAAAAAUACAUCCAAUAAAAUCAUAUCUGAACUUGAGGCCCUGCUCACAUCGGUCCAUUCUUCUGGAUCUCGUGGCUGUGGACACGUCACUCACUGGGCAGGUUCCCGUCUGACGUUUAUCCAGCCUGACC